CAGUAGCCGCGGGAAUACGUAGGGUGCAAGCGUUAAUCAGAAUUACUGGGCGUAAAGCGUGCGCAGGCGGUUAUGUAAGACAGUUGUGAGAUCCCCGGGCUCAACCAGGGAACUGCAUCUGUGACUGCAUAGCUAGAGUACGGUAGAGGGGGAUGGAAUUCCGCGUGUAGCAGUGACAUGCGUAGAUAUGCGGAGGAACACCGAUGGCGAAGGCAAUCCCCUGGACCUGUACUGACGCUCAUGCACGAAAGCGUGGGGAGCAAACAGGAUUAGAUACCCGUGUAGUCCCUGUCUCUUAUAA
rnacentral:rRNA from 1 species